rnacentral:rRNA from 1 species
AUACGGAGGGUGCAAGCGUUACUCGGAAUCACUGGGCGUAAAGCGCGCGCAGGCGGCUAUUUAAGUUAGAUGUGAAAGCCUACGGCUCAACCGUAGAACUGCAUCCAAAACUAUUUAGCUAGAGUGUGGGAGAGGAAGAUGGAACUAGUUGUGUAGGGGUAAAAUCCGUAGAGAUAACUAGGAAUACCAAAAGCGAAGGCAAUCUUCUGAAACACUACUGACGCUGAGGCGCGAAAGCGUGGGGAGCAAACAGGAUUAGAAACCCCAGUAGUCC